rnacentral:lncRNA from 1 species
GCCCCUAGUUAGUUGUUCUUGUCUUUUUUCUAUAUUGAAGAGUCCAGGUCUACUUAGUCUGUUCUCACAGAUAAGCGUUCACUGCUGGAGGAAUCCAUUCUACUUAACUAGUAGGAAAUGAAGGAUAUUUUUUUCAGGGGAAAUCUCCCAACAUCUCAUUGCCAUGGCCACAGGCCCAAGCAGUUCCCAUUUCCUUUUUCUUCAGGCUUCAUGGAGUAGUUCCCACAGGAAGGGCACCAUGGCACGCAAGCAGAAGGUCCAACACCAUAUGCAGAAUUUUCAGAAGCUCAGGAUAAUAUCACAGUGUCACUCAGGAUCCAGCACAUCUGGUCCUUCAGCCAUGGCACAUCAUCUCUCAAGGGACAGCAGCUGUGAUAAUCAUGAAGACUGCUGUCAGUCACCAGCUGAUCUACUUGCAUUGUUUAAGUGAGAAACUGAGAUCAAACCUACUCUGUGGUCAGCCAGGACUAGAGCCCAGCAGAGAAACAGAAAGAAAAACAACAUGACAGUGAGUCUGAACCAACCCUGUUUCAAAAUGCUACACAGGGAAGAUCAGAUAGCCUCGCAGCUAGGUGACCUUUAAGGCAAGAAUUAGCAUGUGACACACAGGUCUGUUUCCCAAGACCAAAAAGGAACUGUCUUCCCUGGUGCCCUCACAAACUCUCUGGUUCCUCCUAGGAAAACAGCUACCCAGCAGUUAGCGUAUUUGCAUAGCUCCAUCUAGACCUUAAAGUUUGCCACCACUUAUCCUGUUUUCAUUCCUUCUGCCUUUUAUCAUCCUUAAGUUUUCAGAAUCAGAAUAUCAGGCAGGAAACAGCACUAAACACUGUCACUCUUAGUUCACAGUGUUAGGACCACACAACAAAACUCAGACCUAUAAGCUGCUUAAAACCCUGUAAGAGUCCAUUUGAUUAUUCUUCUAGUAAGGUUAACUCUCUCUAGGUGGACAAUGAUUUAUCUUUGUGUUUAGCCAAUAGGAGUUUCUCCUAUAGUUCCCAAGAAUUUAAUGUUAAAAUGGCUGUGAGGUG